CGAGGGUGUGUCUUAUGAGUUUGAACCGCUACCAAUGUGUAAGAUGUGCAAGUGUGACAGAGUAGUUACAAAGCUUAUAAAGAAGGAUGUUGAAGGAUUGUAAGACGCAAUGUCGACAGACAAACAGCCUACACCAGAUCAUACGACCCUCACCAGCGCAAGCAAGGCCAACAACCAGAGGAAUGGAGGGAUGAAAGAAGAAAGUCACCAGCAGUCUCCUACUCGUUCCCAUGGGAACCCCUGCAGAACCUCUACUCAAGGAUCUCCUGGAUCCAGCCCGCUGGAAAAUGCUGAUCCAACAGUUCAGAUACGACAACUACAGAUUACAUCAGCUGGGCAACAACUCUGUGUUUACCAUCACACUCCAGGCCGGCUUGUCUGCUAUCAAAACUCCGUAUCCUUUCUGGUCACCGCUCUGUGCUCCUUAGUUUUGCUAUUUCUGGUAGGAACAUCAUUUUUUAUUUAAUCCAAUCCUCGACUUCGGUCAUUUGCUUUAUCUUGGCCAGGUCGCAGUUGUAAAUGAGAACUCGUUCUCAACUUGCCUACCUGGUUAAAUAAAGGUGAAAUAAAAAAAUAAAAACUAUAGACACAAUCACUCUGCAGAUUCUCAAAACACAAUACAAAGACACGUCUACAAAAUUCCCCUGCUACAAAGUCAAUGGGUUAGGAGAGGUUUACAGAUAUGUUUUUGAAAUGAGAAAGCGGUUUUGGUUGUGGUUAGAGAGAGUAAAUGUAUUGUUGUGGAUGAUAAUGAUUGAGAAAUGGCACCUUUCAAUCUCCCAUACACAACAGUAGAUACUGUAAGAACUGCCCUCCUAAGACUUCACACCUUGUGCAGCCAUCCCACCCCAGCCCAUUCCCUUUGAUUUCUCCUCUCCUCUGGUCCUGAGUGGUAAUAAGAGCGAGAUAAGAACAUAGUUUAGGAGACAAAGCUGAACGAUAAUUUAUAGCCAAUGCUGUCUGGCUAUGGAAUACUCCU